AUUCCUCCACUUUUGCUCGUCUCCUCUCAGCAGCAACACCAACACCAUAAUUGAAGCAGGAAUCGUCAGUGACGAACAAGUCUGGACGUGUUUCGUUGAUUGGAUUGCCUUGCCUGUUUCAUCUGUUGAGGCUCGUGUCCCCUGGCUGAAGGUACGAAGUAGCCCAGCUGCCUUCGAAGCAGCCACCUGGACACGCAGGCUCGCGCGCUCGGCACGGCAGAUGGCCCGCGCACAAACGCACAAUUUUCCACGUCCCAGCGCACGCUGCCUCCAGAGAGUCCAGAGUGCAGCCCCGCGCCGCCUCACACUUAUAUAAAUGGAGACGCGGACUAUUGUGUGUCAUCAUUUGUCUUGAAGUUUUCUGUACAUGAAGAUCCUCUCUCGCAUUUGUCGAUAUUCAGCCGACAGAUAUAUACAAUUUUAUUUGUAUAAAUUUGGAGCAAAAAUAUCGGUUCUGUGAUUUUAACUUUGAUUAACUUAAAACCUCAAUUUAUAAUAGCAAAUUCGUUGAGAAAUCCUUAUUUUUUAUCUUUUGUAAAAACAGAGAAUUUGGUUUUCAUCAGAAUUUGUUCUAUGUAAAUUGGGAGUAUUAAUUUUGCUUUUUGAAUUGUAAUUUUGAACCGGACUGGCCAGUAAGGCCGUGCCAGGUGGCAGUGCUGUUUUUUUCUUCAUUCCAGUAUUGCACUUGUCCCGGCCUAUCUGACCCUCCAUGGACAUCAUUAUUGUACACACAAUUAUACGCACCACACACAUGGUGGAUUUGGUAUGACUUGAGGGGGUACGAUUAUCCAGCUUAUUGAGUUAAUUGCGCCAACUCAAGUCAGGCUGAUCCUCACCAAUCAAUCAAAACCAAUCUGCCGAAAACACCUCUCUCUAUUUUUGCUUCUUAACUUGAAAGAAUUCGGAUCUGUGGUGGUUUCAAUUGGUAUGUCAUAGAGAGGAGAUUCUGUCUUUUUAAAUGACAGCAUUUCCAACUAUGACAUAUUAUUUGGCCACUUGACAACAUAAUAUUUAUAUGGGAGGCUCUUGUUUAAGUUUUAUCCCCAAUAGGUCGUGAAUUAAAACCGACCUUUUGGCGGGUAAAACUAAAAUUCGGCUCCACACACACACCACAGACAUAUUAUUACACAAUUUAUCACUUUCCUUGUUUGUUAAAAUAUCAUUUUUUGACUUUUUUCUUCUGUUGAGACUGUUGAUGUCAAUAAAA